UGACCAUUAUUCAUUUAUAUGCCUAUUGCCUAUACGGAACCCCUUAGGUAUCAUUGUAUAAUACAGUUGUAUGAAUAAUGCUCUUAAAACGACAAGGUGUAUUUUAUGAAAAUGAAUAUUGAAUAUUGAUAAUCGUAAUUGCAUGAAGUAGGUAGGUAGCGCGUAUAGGAUUUAAUUUCGAAGAGGGAGCGUUGUGUUUAAAAUAAUAGAUCAUAAUAAGUAAAAAGUAACAUAAAAAUAUAUAAAUGUAAAACUUGGUUAGAAGAACUUUCAUGCAGGUAAAAUUUUUGGAAGGAGCGGAUGUUGUGACCCCUUAACUUCCCCCGCAUGUAAGCUACAAUAGCAUAUAUAGGUAUAUUGAUAGACGCGCAGUCGUGUUCUUAUAUACUUCAUGAAUUAAGUCGAGUACAAUAUGAUUAAAAUAAAACAGAAUAACGUAAACUGCAAGUAAACGGGUAGUAACUAUAUCUAUGGCAUAGUUAUGAUUUUAUUCUGGUGGGGAGGAUGGAUAUUUUUUUAAGUAAACGUCGUGUGGGCCCAUUCCCC